UCUCACUGAGUUGCGGGGAUUCUCCACUGCUGAACAGCCAGAACAUGGAAAGGUGCAUCUCAAUAAAACGACUCUGCAGACCUUGGUCACAGGACAUCUCCAAUAGUUUAUCCUGAAGAACCGGUGAGAAUAUACUGGUCCAAGGACCUCCAGAGCCUGCUGACCAACUAGUGUACCUGCGAUCUCUCCAGAGCACAGAGAAGUGAGUCUGCUGGGCUAUGGAACUCUAGAGCAGCACAUCAAAAAACCUGCCACCCUGUGUUGUCAGCUAUCGACAGUUCCCUGAAGGACGCAACUACCAAGGCUUUAAAAUGGUCAAAUUUGGGGGAUGACCACCAAAUGC
rnacentral:lncRNA from 1 species